CAGCAGCCGCGGUAAUACGAAGGGUGCAAGCGUUACUCGGAAUUAUUGGGCGUAAAGGGUGCGUAGGCGGUUUGGCAAGUUUGGUGUGAAAUCUUCGGGCUCAACUCGAAGUCUGCAUCGAAAACUGCCGGGCUUGAGUAUGGGAGAGGUGAGUGGAAUUUCCGGUGUAGCAGUGAAAUGCGUGGAGAUCGGAAGGAACAUCUGUGGCGAAGGCGACUAUCUGGGCCAUUACUGACACUGAGGCACGAAAACGUGGGGAGCAAACAGGAUUAGAGACCCGCGUAGUCCCUGUCUCUUAUAA
rnacentral:rRNA from 1 species